UAAAAGUUUUAUUUAUGCUUUGAAUUUAAGUUUUACUUUAAAAUAAAUGUAAAUUUUGAUAUUUAAAUAAAUUGGUUCAGCAGUAUUUAUUAUUAAUUAUAAGGUAAUUCUGGAAUUAGUAAUUGUAAUAUGUAUUGACAAAAUUUGUGCCAGCAGUAGCGGUUAUACAGAUAAUACUAUUUAAAUUGUUUAGGUGGGGGUUAAAGAUUAGUGCAAUAGAAUAAAUUUGUUAUUAUUAGGUGAAAUUUUAUUAAUAAUUUUUCUAUUAUAUUUUGAGGCCUUGAAAUUUAAGAUUUAAAUUGGGAUUAGAUACCCCAUUAUUUUAAAUGUAAAAUUUUGCCUAUAUUAUUGUGAGUUAAGUUCUUUAAAAUAAAAGGAUUUGGCGGUAUUUUAGUCUUUUCAGAGGAACCUGUUGUAUGAACGAUAGUCCACGAUUUUUUUUACUUGUUUUAGAAGGUUUGUAUAUCGUCGUAGUAGAAUUUUCUAUUAAGAGUUAAAAAUUCUUAGGUUUAAUUUUAAUAUAAAUCAGAUCAAGGUGCAGCGUAUAAACAAGAAUUAAUGGGUUACAAUAAAUUUAUUUAUACGGAAAAAUUUAAUAAUUUAUUUUUUGAAGGUGGAUUUGGAAGUAAUAAUUUUAAUUUAUAAUUAUGAUUUAGCUCUAAAAUAUGCACAUAUCGCCCGUCGCUCUCAUUAAUAUGGGAUAAGUCGUAACAAAGUAGUCUUACUGGAAAGUGUGUCUAGAUGGAC
rnacentral:ncRNA from 1 species